CCUACGGGUGGCUGCAGUGGGGAAUUUUCCGCAAUGCGCGUAAGAGUGAUGCAGCGACGCCGCGUGAAUGACGAAGGCCUUCGGGUCGUAAAGUUCUUUUGACAGGGAAGAAAAUGUCUAUAAGGAACUGUUUGCGUAUUGACGGUACCUGUAUAAGCAGCCACGGCUAACUCCGUGCCAGCAGCCGCGGUAAUACGGAGGGGGCGAGCGUUGUUCGGAGUGAUUGGGCGUAAAGAGGACGUAGGCGGUGUUGUAAGUCCUGAGUUAAAGACUAGAGCUCAACUUUAGGAAGGCUAGUGAUACUAGAAAACUAGAGUAAGAGAGAGGUAUGCGGAAUGCCAUGUGAAGCGGUGAAAUGCGUAGAUAUCUGGAAGAACACCGUAGGCGAAGGCAGCUUUCUGGCUCUAUACUGACGCUGAGGUGCGAAAGCGUGGGGAGCAAACAGGAUUAGAUACCCGUGUAGUC
rnacentral:rRNA from 1 species